rnacentral:rRNA from 1 species
GACGAACGCUGGCGGCGUGCCUAAUACAUGCAAGUCGAACGCUGAAGAGAGGAGCUUGCUCUUCUUGGAUGAGUUGCGAACGGGUGAGUAACGCGUAGGUAACCUGCCUGGUAGCGGGGGAUAACUAUUGGAAACGAUAGCUAAUACCGCAUAAAAUGGAUUAUCGCAUGAUAAUCCAUUGAAAGGUGCAAAUGCAUCACUACCAGAUGGACCUGCGUUGUAUUAGCUAGUUGGUGGGGUAACGGCUCACCAAGGCGACGAUACAUAGCCGACCUGAGAGGGUGAUCGGCCACACUGGGACUGAGACACGGCCCAGACUCCUACGGGAGGCAGCAGUAGGGAAUCUUCGGCAAUGGACGGAAGUCUGACCGAGCAACGCCGCGUGAGUGAAGAAGGUUGUCGGAUCGUAAAGCUCUGUUGUAAGAGAAGAACGAGUGUGAGAGUGGAAAGUUCACACUGUGACGGUAUCUUACCAGAAAGGGACGGCUAACUACGUG